rnacentral:rRNA from 1 species
UACGAAGGGGGCUAGCGUUGCUCGGAAUCACUGGGCGUAAAGCGCACGUAGGCGGAUUGUUAAGUCAGGGGUGAAAUCCUGGAGCUCAACUCCAGAACUGCCUUUGAUACUGGCGAUCUCGAGUCCGGGAGAGGUGAGUGGAACUGCGAGUGUAGAGGUGAAAUUCGUAGAUAUUCGCAAGAACACCAGUGGCGAAGGCGGCUCGCUGGAACGGUACUGACGCUGAGGCGCGAAAGCGUGGGGAGCGAACAGG